GCUAGCAUGGCAUAGUGGUUUGAAUGUUAGACUAUGAUUCUAGAGGCCAGGGUUUGAUUCCCUACUGAGCUAUGA